AUGGAGCAGCCUCCUGCAUCCGAACAUCAGGAGCUUCCCCGGGACCCGAACCUGGGCGACUCGGGAAGCCAGCGCGGGCUCCUCCUGGCUGCACCCCCAGCUCCCCUUACGAGUCCAUACGUGUCCGGGCCCCUGGGAGCGUCAGUCCCCCUGAAACGCCUGCAGGGGUCAUGCUCCUACAUCCACCUGGAUGCGCACAGCAAAGUGCUCCCGCAAGCAGACCUCCCAGGUGGAGCUGGUGUGGCUGAGCUGGCCUGGUGCCCAUGGAAGCAGCAGAGAGGGGCCACGGCGGGAAUGAGAGCUGGUGGGCCGAGGCUCACGGCGGCCGUCAGCUCUGAGGUGGCCUCUGCAGUGGCCUGGAGUGAGGGGCGGAAUGGAGGCAAGGCUGGGGGUGGGGCAGAAGCUGUCCAGACAGCCUCCACCACCGCCCCGAAGGUCUUCCAGCUGACCCCCAGCUGUGGGAUCACGUCUGACGCCACGGUUGCCCUGGGCUGCCUGGUCUCUGAUUACUACCCAGAGCCGGUGACUUUGUCCUGGAACUCGGGCGCCCUGACCAGCGGGGUGCACACCUUCCCAUCCGUCCUGCAGUCUUCGGGGCUCUACGCCCUCAGCAGCAUGGUGACCGUGCCUGCCAGCACCUGGACCAGCGAGACCUACAUCUGCAACGUAGCCCACCCGGCCAGCAGCACCAAGGUGGACAAGAGAAUAUCCCCAUGUGUUCUCUCUGCAGAGGGCGUUAUCCCCAUCCCAUCGGUCCCCACCCCCCAGUGUCCCCCGUACACACAUUCUAAAUUCCUAGGAGGGCCUUCCGUCUUCAUCUUCCCCCCGAAUCCCAAGGACGCACUCAUGAUCUCCCGAACGCCCGUGGUCACUUGCGUGGUGGUAAACUUGAGCGAUCAAUACCCCGAUGUCCAGUUCUCCUGGUAUGUGGACAACACGGAGGUACACUCGGCCAUCACGAAGCAGAGGGAGCUGCAGUCCAACAGCACCUACCGCGUGGUCAGCGUCCUCCCCAUCCAGCACCAGGACUGGCUGAGUGGAAAAGAGUUCAAGUGUAGCGUCACCAACAUAGGAGUCCCACAACCCAUCUCGAGGGCCAUCUCGAGAGGCAAAGGACCGUCCCGGGUUCCGCAGGUAUAUGUGCUGCCCCCACACCCAGACGAGCUGGCCAAGAGCAAGGUCAGCGUGACCUGCCUGGUCAAAGACUUCUACCCACCUGACAUCAGUGUCGAGUGGCAGAGCAACAGGUGGCCGGAGCUAGAGGGCAAGUACAGCACCACCCCGGCCCAACUGGACGGCGACGGGUCCUACUUUCUGUACAGCAAGCUCUCCUUGGAGACAAGCAGGUGGCAGCAGGGAGAGUCACUCACGUGUGCGGUGAUGCAUGAGGCUCUCCACAAUCACUUCACGAAGACAGACAUCUCCGAGUCUCUGGGUAAAUGAGCCACACGCCGGCACCCAGCGAGUGGUCCCUCCUUCACCGCAAGCUCUCUGGGUCCCGCGAGGACA